UUGAAUUGUCACGAUACUGAA
rnacentral:piRNA from 1 species